rnacentral:rRNA from 1 species
CCCUAGUACGGCGAGUGAAGCGGCAACAGCUCAAAUUUGAAAGCUAGCCUUCGGGUUCGCAUUGUAAUUUGUAGAGGAUGCUUUGGGUAAAACGCCAGUCUAAGUUCCUUGGAACAGGACGUCAUAGAGGGUGAGAAUCCCGUAUGUGACUGGAAAUGUUAACCUAUGUAAAGCUCCUUCGACGAGUCGAGUUGUUUGGGAAUGCAGCUCUAAAUGGGAGGUAAAUUUCUUCUAAAGCUAAAUAUUGGCGAGAGACCGAUAGCGCACAAGUAGAGUGAUCGAAAGAUGAAAAGCACUUUGGAAAGAGAGUUAAAAAGCACGUGAAAUUGUUGAAAGGGAAGCGCUUGCAAUCAGACUUGUUUAAACUGUUCGGCCGGUCUUCUGACCGGUUUACUCAGUUUGGACAGGCCAGCAUCAGUUUCGGCGGCCGGAUAAAGGCUCUGGGAAUGUGGCCUCCACUUCGGUGGAGGUGUUAUAGCCCAGUGUGUAAUACGGCCAGCCGGGACUGAGGUCCGCGCUUCGGCUAGGAUGCUGGCGUAAUGGUUGUAAGCGACCCGUCUUGAAACACGGAC